UGCGGUACCUUCCGAGUUCCCUGGAACGGGACGCCACAGAGGGUGAGAGCCCCGUCUGGUUGGAUACCAAACCUGUGUUAAACUCCUUCAACGAGUCGAGUAGUUUGGGAAUGCUGCUCUAAAUGGGAGGUAAAUCUCUUCUAAAGCUAAAUACCGGCCAGAGACCGAUAGCGCACAAGUAGAGUGAUCGAAAGAUGAAAAGCACCUUGAAAAGGGGGUUAAACAGUACGUGAAAUUGUUAAAAGGGAAGCGUUUAUGACCAGACUUGUGUCGUGUGGCUCAUCCGAGGUUCUCCCCGGUGCACUCCACACGGCUCAGGCCAACAUCGGUUCUCGUUGGGGGAUAAGAACAGCAGGAACGUGGCCCUCUUCGGAGGGUGUUAUAGCCUGCUGUACGAUA
rnacentral:rRNA from 1 species